AAUAUAUACGAACAGAUCUAUAUAAUGAAAAAAGAGGAAAAUAUAAACAAUAGAAUAAUUGUUAGUAUCAUGUUAUGAAUACUUUUCUCUUCUUUUCAUCAUCGUCUUUUGUUGUGGCAAUUU
rnacentral:ribozyme from 14 species